UACGUAGGGAGCAAGCGUUGUCCGGAAUCAUUGGGCGUAAAGCGCGCGUAGGUGGCCUCAUAAGUCCGCUGUGAAAGUCAAAGGCUCAACCUUUGAAAGCCGGUGGAUACUGUGAGGCUAGAGUACGGAAGAGGCGGGUGGAAUUCCUGGUGUAGCGGUGGAAUGCGCAGAUAUCAGGAGGAACACCAAUAGCGAAGGCAGCUCGCUGGGACGUUACUGACACUGAGGCGCGAAAGCGUGGGGAGCGAACAGG
rnacentral:rRNA from 1 species